rnacentral:tRNA from 1 species
GCCUGGAUAGCUCAGUUGGUUAGCGUGUGGUGCUGAUAAUGCCAAGGUUGCAGGUUCAAUCCCCCAUAUGGGGGUA